CUGUGACAGGCAACUAAGAAUAA
rnacentral:piRNA from 1 species